rnacentral:rRNA from 1 species
AUCGAUGAAGAACGCAGCGAAAUGCGAUAAGUAAUGUGAAUUGCAGAAUUCAGUGAAUCAUCGAAUCUUUGAACGCACAUUGCGCCCCUUGGUAUUCCGAGGGGCAUGCCUGUUCGAGCGUCAUUUCACCAAUCAAGCACUGCUUGGUAUUGGGCGUCCGGCCCCGCCUCGUCGGCGGCCGCGCCCCAAACCCUUCGGCGAAGUCUCACCGGCUUUGGGCGUAGUAGAAUUUUCUUUCAAUAACGUCCACGGAGCCCGGCGGGCCUUUUGCCGUCAAACCAAACAACAUUUUUUUCAGGUUGACCUCGGAUCAGGUAGGGAUACCCGCUGAACUUAAGCAUAUCAAUAAGCGGAGGAAAAGAAACCAACAGGGAUUGCCCUAGUAACGGCGAGUGAAGCGGCAACAGCUCAAAUUUGAAAUCUGGCGUCUUCGGCGUCCGAGUUGUAAUUUGUAGAGGAUGCUUUUGGGCAGUCUCCGGUCUAAGUUCCUUGGAACAGGACGUCAUAGAGGGUGAGAAUCCCGUAUGUGACCGGCAAGACACCCUCCGUAAAGCUCCUUCGACGAGUCGGGUUGUUUGGGAAUGCAGCCCUAAAUUGGAGGUAAAUUUCUUCUAAAGCUAAAUACCGGCCAGAGACCGAUAGCGCACAAGUAGAGUGAUCGAAAGAUGAAAAGCACUUUGGAAAGAGAGUUAAAAAGCACGUGAAAUUGUUGAAAGGGAAGCGCUUGCAAUCAGACUCGGUUUCGGCUGUUCAGCCGGCCACUCGUGGCCGGCCCAUUCAGUCGUCGUCGGCCCAGAGUCAGUUCUGGCGGUCGGAUAAAGGCCUCGGGAAUGUAGCUCCCUCGGGAGUGUUAUAGCCCGGGGUGUAAUACGGCCUGCCGGGACUGAGGUCCGCGCAUUUGCUAGGACUCUGGGGUAAUGGUUGUAAGCGGCCCGUCUUGAAACACG